CCGAUAGAGGGGGAUAACUACUGGAAACGGUGGCUAAUACCGCAUAAUGUCUACGGACCAAAGCAGGGGCUCUUCGGACCUUGCACUAUCGGAUGAACCCAUAUGGGAUUAGCUAGUAGGUGGGGUAAAGGCUCACCUAGGCGACGAUCUCUAGCUGGUCUGAGAGGAUGAUCAGCCACACUGGGACUGAGACACGGCCCAG
rnacentral:rRNA from 1 species